GACGAACGCUGGCGGCGUGCUUAACACAUGCAAGUCGAACGGAAAGGCCCUGCUUUUGUGGGGUGCUCGAGUGGCGAACGGGUGAGUAACACGUGAGUAACCUGCCCUUGACUUUGGGAUAACUUCAGGAAACUGGGGCUAAUACCGGAUAGGAGCUCCUGCUGCAUGGUGGGGGUUGGAAAGUUUCGGCGGUUGGGGAUGGACUCGCGGCUUAUCAGCUUGUUGGUGGGGUAGUGGCUUACCAAGGCUUUGACGGGUAGCCGGCCUGAGAGGGUGACCGGCCACAUUGGGACUGAGGUGCGGCCCAGACUCCUACGGGGGGCAGCAGUGGGGAAUAUUGCACAAUGGGCGGAAGCCUGAUGCAGCAACGCCGCGUGCGGGAUGACGGCCUUCGGGUUGUAAACCGCUUUCGCCUGUGACGAAGCGUGAGUGACGGUAAUGGGUAAAGAAGCACCGGCUAACUACGU
rnacentral:rRNA from 1 species